rnacentral:rRNA from 1 species
UACAGAGGAGCCAAGCGUUGUCCGGAUUGACUGGGCGUAAAGCGCACGCAGGCGGACGCGCGCGUGGGGUGUGAAAUCUGGCCGCUUAACGGCCAGGCGCCAUCCCAUACGGCGCGUCUGGAGCAAUGCAGAGGUCGGUGGAAUUGCCGGUGUAGUGGUGAAAUGCGUAGAUAUCGAGAGGAACACCUGCGGCGAAGGCGGGUAGCUGGGACGACACUGACGCUGAGGCGCGAAAGCCAGGGGAGCGAACGGG